GUCGAGAAUCUUUCACAAUGGGGGCAACCCUGAUGGAGCGACGCCGCGUGGAGGAUAAGGUCUUCGGAUUGUAAACUCCUGUCAUGCGUGAACAAGGUUGCUUGGUUAAUACCUGGGCAAAUUGAUGGUAACGCAAGAGGAAGAGACGGCUAACUCUGUGCCAGCAGCAGCGGUAAUACAGAGGUCUCAAGCGUUGUUCGGAAUCACUGGGCGUAAAGGGUGCGUAGGUGGCGUGGUAAGUCAGAUGUGAAAGCCCGGGGCUCAACCUCGGAACUGCAUCCGAUACUGCCAUGCUAGAGUACUGGAGAGGUGACUAGAAUUCUCGGUGUAGCAGUGAAAUGCGUAGAUAUCGAGAGGAAUACCAAAGGCGUAAGCAGGUCACUGGACAGUUACUGACACUGAGGCACGAAGGCCAGGGGAGCGAACGGGAUUAGAAACCCCGGUAGUCC
rnacentral:rRNA from 1 species